CAAAGGCCUGGUCCUGCCUUUACCUUCGGCUUUGGCCCAACUUAUACAUGCAAGUACCCGCACCCCCGUGAGAAUGCCCUCAAACCCCUGCCCGGGGACGAGGAGCAGGCAUCAGGCACAUAACACUGCCCAAAACGCCUUGCUAUGCCACCCCCUCAAGGGAACUCAGCAGUAAUAAAUAUUAAGCUAUGAGUGAAAACUCGACUUAGUGAGGGCCAUGAGGGUCGGUAAAAUUCGUGCCAGCCACCGCGGUUACACGAAAGACCCUAGUUGACAGAUCACGGCGUAAAGGGUGGUUAAGAAGCACAAAAAUAAAGCUAAAGAUCUUCUAAGCUGUUAUACGCACCCCGAAGACAUGAAACCCCGUCACGAAAGUAGCUUUAAUAAUCUCCUGAUACCACGAAAGCCAAGGAACAAACUGGGAUUAGAUACCCCACUAUGCUUGGCCAUAAACCAAAAUGCACCACUACAUGUGCAUCCGCCCGGGCACUACGAGCACAGCUUAAAACCCAAAGGACUUGGCGGCGUUUCAGACCCACCUAGAGGAGCCUGUUCUAUAAUCGAUAACCCCCGCUAAACCUCACCACUUCUUGUUUCCCCCGCCUAUAUACCGCCGUCGUCAGCACACCCUGUGAAGGUUUAGCAGUAAGCCAUUGGGGCAAACCCAAAAACGUCAGGUCAAGGUGUAGCAUACGGAGUGGGAAGAAAUGGGCUACAUUUUCUAUAUUAAAGAAUAUUACGGAUGGUUUUUUGAAAAAAAUACCUGAAGGUGGAUUUAGUAGUAAAAGGAAAACAGAGCGUCCUUUUGAAUUAGGCUCUGAAAUACGCACACACCGCCCGUCACUCUCCCCUUAUAUAAACUACAACCAACAUUUCUAAUAACAUAACCCAACACGGGGAGGCAAGUCGUAACAUGGUAAGUGUACCGGAAGGUGUACUUGGAUUAA
rnacentral:ncRNA from 1 species